rnacentral:tRNA from 1 species
GACUGCGUUAGCUCAGUUGGUAGAGCAUCGGAAUACAAAGCCGGAGACCGUGGGUUCAAAUCCCUGGUAGUCA